UCACUUGAAUCACAAACUCGCUCAUAGUCUGUUCUUCAGUUUUCUUCAGAUGUGUCAACUUAUCCCCUAUACUUAGAGUAUGAAUUGUCAAAGUUGGUGAGAGAUGCAUUUCUAAUUUGUUUCAGCAAUCAUAUGUUGUUCUAUGUCCCAUCACCAAUGAAUACAUCAAAACAGCAACUGAUGACUGAAUCCAACCAAGAGCGAUUCAAUUCUUCUGUAGCCAAGUUUGGUGAUCAGAAUUCGUUGUCCCAUCACUAUUUCUUUCAGGUGGAAUAACCCGAUUUGCACGUAUGAUGUCCGAUACCCGAUGUAUUCUGAAAAGGUUCUCCAUUUGUUCUUUUCAGAACAAAUGUCUCCCUUCUCAAAAGGAGUCUGGAUGAAGUGUGAAACCUGACAUUUGUAAAUGUCAGGGCUAACACCAUCAACAGCUGAAGAGGAAGAAGUGUCCCUUUCUGCCAUUCGAUGCACUCAAGUUUUAACGGAAAAAAUAGGAUAGAAAUGGCACAAAUCCUCGACGUCUCCAAAUUUGCAGUCCUUGCGUUACAAACAAUAUAACAAUCAACAAAUUUGCAAAUAAACGAGUAAUUUCAUUCGAACGAAUGAAAUGAGGCAACUAUAAUCAAUUUAAACUACACAAUUGAUUAAUAGCCCCUUUUUUCUUUUUCUUUUUUCUUUUUAUAAAAAUAAUAGCAGACCAGCAAAAUACAUGCAAAAUACUCUUAGAAAAAAAACAAUUCAAUAACAUGCAAUAUAACUAUAAAUCGCAAUAUAAUUGCGGGAGAAAGAAAUAAAAUUAUUUCUGCCAAUUAGUAUUAAUCGAUAACAUCAGCAAUCAGACAAUUUAAAAGCAUGAAUUAUCAGUAUUAAUCGAUUAAAGCAGAAAGAAUCAGUUUUCUCACAAUAAACGCAAUAAGCAACAAAAAAAAUCAGAAUGAACAAUCAAAUUAGUUUUAAGCAGAAAGAGCGAAAAAAAAAUUGAUAGCAAAAUAUCACAAUAGCACUAUUAAACUAGUAACAAACCAAAAAAAAAUAAUGCAAAUCAAAACCAAUCAGCAAGAAAACCAAUCAGAUCGAUAACGGAAAAGAGAAAGAAAAAAUCACAAUCAAACCAGACUGCAACGAUCGGUUAAUUGCAGAUAGUAAGUCUUGAUCAAAAUCGCAAGAUCCCCCAAGUCGCAAAAUUUCAAAUCGCAAACAACCUGCAAUCAAAAUCUGAAAUCGAAAAUUAAAAUAUUAACCUGCAGAUUUGGCGAUUUGGCUAGCAGAAAUCCCAAUCGCAAAUAAUGCAGAAAAACGCAGAUCCAAAAUGCAGAUCCAGACGAACGCGUGGAAUAUGG
rnacentral:lncRNA from 1 species